rnacentral:rRNA from 1 species
UUAUCCGGAUUUAUUGGGUGUAAAGGGAGCGUAGGCGGGUGCUUAAGUCAGUUGUGAAAGUUGCGGCUCAACCGUAAAAUUGCAGUUGAUACUGGGCGCCUUGAGUGCAGCAUAGGUAGGCGGAAUUCGUGGUGUAGCGGUGAAAUGCUUAGAUAUCACGAAGAACUCCGAUUGCGAAGGCAGCUUACUGGACCGUAACUGACGCUGAUGCUCGAAAGUGUGGGUAUCAAACAGGAUUAGAUACCCUGGUAGUCCACACAGUAAACGAUGAAUACUCGCUGUUGGCGAUACACAGUCAGCGGCCAAGCGAAAGCAUUAAGUAUUCCACCUGGGGAGUACGCCGGCAACGGUGAAACUCAAAGGAAUUGACGGGGGCCCGCACAAGCGGAGGAACAUGUGGUUUAAUUC